UACAGAGGGUGCGAGCGUUAAUCGGAAUUACUGGGCGUAAAGCACACGUAGGCGGCUUGGUAUGUCGGGUGUGAAAUCCCCGGGCUCAACCUGGGAACUGCAUCCGAAACUGCCUUGCUAGAGUAUGGGAGAGGGAAGUGGAAUUUCCGGUGUAGCGGUGAAAUGCGUAGAUAUCGGAAGGAACAUCAGUGGCGAAGGCGACUUCCUGGACCAAUACUGACGCUCAGGUGCGAAAGCGUGGGGAGCAAACAGG
rnacentral:rRNA from 1 species